AUGCGCGCCGGCCUGGGGCUGAGGUGGGGGCUUUUGCUGGGGAGAUGGUGGGGGGUGGGCUGGGCUGGGCUGGGCGGCGGGGGCGGGGAGGAGGCGGGCCCAGCGGCCCCGGAGGAAGGUGCGGCGCCUCUCGCCACCAAAGGCGCUGCGCGCGGGGCGAGGGGUAGUCGCGGCUGCCGGAGGCUGAGCGCCCGCGCGUGGACGAAGCGACCCCGGCAACUUCUCCAACUCGGCCGGCGCCGCCCCGCGCGCACACGGGACCCCGGGGGAACGGCCGUGUCGCCGAUCCGGGGCCCGGGCGGGUGUCGGGCUCUCCACCCAGCUGGAGAAGGAGACUCGGUGUUGAUCCGUGAGAGCGGAAGCCAUGACGUCAUCAGAAAGAAUGUCAAAGGGUUCUGUGCCUGA
ensembl:lncRNA